AUUGAACGCUGGCGGCAGGCCUAACACAUGCAAGUCGAACGGUAACAGGAAGACGCUUGCUUCUUUGCUGACGAGUGGCGGACGGGUGAGUAAUGUCUGGGAAACUGCCUGAUGGAGGGGGAUAACUACUGGAAACGGUAGCUAAUACCGCAUAACGUCGCAAGACCAAAAAGGGGGACCUUCGGGCCUCUUGCCAUCGGAUGUGCCCAGAUGGGAUUAGCUAGUAGGUGGGGUAACGGCUCACCUAGGCGACGAUCCCUAGCUGGUCUGAGAGGAUGACCAGCCACACUGGAACUGAGACACGGUCCAGACUCCUACGGGAGGCAGCAUUGGGGAAUAUUGCACAAUGGGCGCAAGCCUGAUGCAGCCAUGCCGCGUGUAUGAAGAAGGCCUUCGGGUUGUAAAGUACUUUCAGCGGGGAGGAAGGGAGUAAAGUUAAUACCUUUGCUCAUUGACGUUACCCGCAGAAGAAGCACCGGCUAACUCCGUG
rnacentral:rRNA from 1 species